AACCACCCCGGAGGCCCGCACAAAUGCCGCUCCUCUUGAUCCCCUCAAGGACACGUCGCCGCCGUCCUCUCCGAGAAGACGCUGCCGGAUCUCCUCGACUAAACGCUGCCGCGGAACCCCACGGACCUCCGCCGUUGCCGAUCUGUGGGAGGCCGCCGCGGAACCCCACGGACCUCCGCCGCUGCCGAUCUGUGGGAGGCCACCGCGGGACCCCACGCACGCAUCCACCUCCGCCGAUCCCAGGGAGGGUGCCGCCGAUCUUAGGAAGGCCAUCGCGGAUCAGGUUUAUUAUGUUGAUGGAACUACCACCACAUGUCCACCCACGAAAGGAAGGUCAGCAUAGACAACAGAUGUUCUCUCGCCAUCGGUGUUUCAUGUUCUCACUAGCAGCGUUUCAGAGGCCACUUGUGACGCUGACACACAUUGUCCGUAUACAUGUGGUAUGUACCUGACUUAUUCAAGUAUGCAACUACAUGACUGAGCCAGAUACGUUAAAUAAAAGGGUUUCUGAUAUUAAGCGUUAAAUAAAAGGUAAACAUGAAGCUCUUGCAUCAUUCCCCAUACUGAUUCCUGCAAAUUUUCCUGCAGAACUACUACAUAUUAGUUUUGAAGUAAAUACUCCAUCCAUCUACUAAUAAAUGGACACUUCAUAUUUUUAUAUCUAACUUUGACAAUUGGUUAUACCAACAAAAUAUGAGUUAUAUGCCAUUGGAUGCACAUUUGAAAGAAUUUUUUGAUAAUAUAUAUUUAUGACAUACAACCCAUAUUCUUAUGACAUGGGUGCAUAUGCAUAAUUUUGAUGGUAUAAUAUUGUCAGGUUUGACUCACUUGUUCUCACUCUGCAGAAUAUCGAGUUUGAUAACGAUGAUGAUUGAAAAGAAGAGGAUGAAGCACGUAAGUUUCCAUUUGAGCUUAUAUUCAUAUGACUACUACCUAGAUGUACUGAUUAUUGUAGCCUGUACCUUGACUAAAAGUGUUUAUGUUUGCUCAAAUUGAUGAGUCAAACAGAACAGUACUAUUAAUUAGUUGAGGGGCAGAGUGGUCUCUCUGAUUGUCAUGAUGACUGCAACCAAAACUGGGAUACAUAGAUCUCCAAUGCAGGGUCUUGAUAUUCUUGAAGUAAGGCACUAACUGAACUUCUGUUUUCCAUCCUUAUAUCUGCAGUAGAAAAAUUGGAGUUUGGGGUACGGGGGGUAAUUCACAUUGGUUCCCUUUCCGUGUGGUAUUCUUCCAUCCUUCCCUUCCUUUUCUAUAGUCAUGUUUGUAAUCAGUUCAAUAACCACGAUCGAAAUAAACAAUGUAUAUGCAGAUUGUGGUAUAGUUCUAGGUAAAAAUGGAUCUAUUGUUCUAUACCUAUUAAAUUGUGGCACAAUCUCCCUAUUUCCGGCGCGCUGAGGGUUGUUGCAGGUAGGACCCCCUGCCACGCCCGCGUUCGUCAUCACCCAUGGUCGAGAAGACCGAGGACGCCAAUGACCCGGCACCCUCAAGCAAUCAGAGCGUAUCCGGGUGUACAUGAUGCCUUUGGGUGGGUGUCGGCGUGAACUGGUAUGGUCCCCUCGUGGCUAUGUAGAUGGGGAUGCGGGGUGGAGGCUGAGACUGCAUGGGGAAAAAACAUAAAGAGCAAGACGGUAGUGUUGUACUGUGGCAUGGUCAUGUGUGUAGCCUCAGCACAGCGUUGUACUGUGGCAUGGCUGUGUGUGUGACCUCGGUGCAGCGGCAAAGAGUAGUCUUUGGAGCAGGGUAGCGGCACACACACAUGAGCGGUGGCCCUCGAGGCUUGGGGUUAAGCAGGUGCGUGAGUGAUACGUUGUCAUUUGUUUUUACUUUACAAAAUCAUUCAUGGUUUGUCUCUUUUUAAGGAUCUCGUGGAAGUGGAGAGAGAAGCAUCAUGCUCAUGAAUUUGAAAAAUGAUUUUGAGUUUGAACAAAGAAAGUUUACCAAAGAAGACAUCAAAGAAAUUAUAUUUAGGGAGAUAAUGGAAUACCUCCCUCAACUUCUCGAGGAUUACAUGCACGGAUCUGAAAAUACUAACUAUGUCCUAUGUUUCUACCUUGACAUAUCUUGUAACUUUUUUGCCUCCUAUUUUCCAUAUGUAGCAAUAGUCAUAGCUUAUGCCCUUGAAUCAAUAUUUUCCACUACUGACAAUUUGCAGAGGCAAUCUGCUAAGAGGAAGAUGGUGGAAAGAGCGGGCGAGUCAAGAGAAAGCAUUUUCUUCUCUCAAGGUAAUUUACACUAUCAUAGUUCCCCCGACUGUGACUUGUUAUAUACACACCUAGACCACCCCACACCGCCACCAUAGUACACGGAUGCCGCUCACCAGCGAACGGCAAAAGGCUCCUCCUUUUACCAUAAAACAUGCCACUGGGUAGGAAGGUGGCCUAGCCGGCCACAAGCAAAAAUGGGAAGGUCGCUUGCAGACACCGACCUCGUUGCAGUGAUUCAUCAUUGCAAGCAGUUAGUGAUGAUCUAGAACUGCUAAAAAUAAACCAAAGGUAAGUUUACAAAUGCAUAAACUGAUUAUAAAUGCAUAAACUGCUCGAGCGAUUCAUCGACGGAAUGCUCGAGAGAGUUUUGAUGCACCGAUGAGUUCGGCAAAAUCAGUUAUCCAUUGGUAAGUGGUAGGUUACGUGCCACAUAUUCGAUAUGCUGCUACAUACUUGCUACUAUAAAUACCAGUUUGGAACCUUAAAACUUAGGUUAUUCUUGGUCUGCUGUUUGGAAAUUAAAGGGAUUAUUGUAGCAUUGAAUGUAUUAACCUGAAUCUAACUCUGGUUUAUCUGCUCAAGCAUUUGAGUCAGUUCUUGUUAUGGGUGGGGUUAGAGCUCAGAUGUGUGGCAACCAUGUUUCUUGGCCAUUGAAUUGGAUAAUUAUCGUGGUUAUAAUUUUUGACUGACACAUGCGUAAGGAGUUCAAGAUUGGUUUUCUGAUCUACAUACUAAUUGAUCAUUACUAUGUUUUUGCAAGCAUUAGUUUUUUUCUCGCAUAUAAAAAAGUACAUAUGAAGGAAUAUUUUAUGAGCGAUUCAACACCUUUCGAUAGUAUGCAGAAGUUUAUGCCUACACUGUUCUAUUUUCCUCACCUAGGAGGGGCCAGCCGACACCAUCUAGGGGAAGGGAGGCGCCAUGGAUGGGAGUAGUUGUGAGGGGAGAAGGUGAGACGAGCGGCUCUGACCUCUGAGUGGAGAAAGUGGGGAGUGAUAAGUUUUUUUUAGUUUGUGUAGAUGGGGAAAAUUUUGGUUGGUCUCACUUUUGUUUACAUGUUUAUAAUAGAUAAAAUGUCAUUUAUAUGUUUAUAUAUUUAUAUGCUUCACUAUUGUGGACAAGUGUUUCAACUGAUGGAUUCGGAUGAUGCUUUCAAAAUGUCGACUGGCA